GGCCUUGGGUAUUUUUUGUUUUAAUUUUUACUAAUUGUGAAAAGUCCAUGGUGCCCUUAUCUGAUACUCCAUUUAGUCCAGGAAAGUAUUAGGUACCGUAGAAUCUGCCACUGCCAGAUAUAUUGCUUGCUAGUUUUCUUGACAUAAUUGGGUACACCAAGGUAAUGUAAAUUGAUAUAUAUGAAGCUCCGAAUGCAGUUUUUUUCUAAUCUGGAGAACAUAGGAAAUCUAAGCUUGAAUUACUGCACUAUAACUUCGUUAAAACUGGGGUAC
rnacentral:lncRNA from 1 species